GUAGGUGAACCUGCGGAAGGAUCAUUAACACGAUACAAUCGUAUCAACCAACCGUGCUCUUGUUGUUAACCUCUGGUUAUAACUAUGGGAUUCAGUAAAGCUUAAUGUGUUGAGGGUAAAACAUUAAGUGAUUGGUCAGGUAUUUAUAUCUGAUCUGAAUCCUUAAUAGUUAUUUCCUUAGGUCUCUUUUUCCUUUUUUUUACCCUCAUUAUUAACCAAAUUAACCCCCUUAAUUACAACUUUGUACUGACAACAUUUCUAACUCGAAAGGGUAGGAAAUUAAAAAACGCUGUACAACUCUUAGCAAUGGAUAUCUUGGUUCUC
rnacentral:misc_RNA from 1 species